UGAUUUUCCUGCCACAUUUACAUCAUAUCUCAUAAACGCUCUCUCAAAAUUCCGUAUAAAUCAGGAUGUUAUUUGCUUACUAACCAAUAAUUCCUAACUUUAAUUACAUGUGGAUAGAAUUGUAACACGUAAGUCUCCCAUUUAAAAUGAACUAUGUAUGUGGAAGCCAAAUGAGCCAAAGCCAGUGUGCCUGGGAACUAGCUGGAAUUCGGAUCGAAUAUAGUGCUUUUUGAUUUCAUCGUUUAUUGAAAUGGAACCUGGAAAUGGUCUUUGGCUAUGACUGGCACAACUGCCAGAUGGCGUUGUAAAUAGAGCAUCAAACCGGAGUUGAUGGCCACCGAAAGACCGAAAGAUGUAAUUAAAUCCUUUCUUUUGCCCAGUCAACAUUAAAACAUCUCAA